rnacentral:rRNA from 1 species
UAUGUAGGGGGCGAGCGUUGUCCGGAUUUAUUGGGCGUAAAGCGCGUGUAGGCGGCCAGAAAAGUCCGCUGUGAAAACUCGAGGCUCAACUUCGAGCUGUCGGUGGAAACUUUCUGGCUAGAGUCCGGAAGAGGAGAAUGGAAUUCCUGGUGUAGCGGUGAAAUGCGCAGAUAUCAGGAAGAACACCCGUGGCGAAGGCGGUUCUCUGGGACGGUACUGACGCUGAGACGCGAAAGCGUGGGGAGCGAACAGG